AUUGAACGCUGGCGGCAGGCCUAACACAUGCAAGUCGAACGAGUGGCGGACGGGUGAGUUAUGUCUGGGAAACUGCCCGAUGGAGGGGGAUAACUACUGGAAACGGUAGCUAAUACCGCAUACCAUCGGAUGUGCCCAGAUGGGAUUAGCUAGUAGGUGGGGUAACGGAUCACCUAGGCGACGCUCCCUAGCUGGUCUGAGAGGAUGACCAGCCACACGGGAACUGUGACACGGUCCAGACGCCGACGGGUGGCAGCAGGCGGGAAAAUUGCACAAUGGGCGAAAGCCUGAUACAGCCAUGCCGCGUGUAUGAAGAAGGCCUUCGGGUUAUAAAGUACUUUCAGCGAGGAGGCGUUACUCGCAGAAGAAGCACCGGCUAACUCAGUGUCAGCCGCCGCGGUAAUUC
rnacentral:rRNA from 1 species